AUGUUUGGGAUUGGGAAGAAGCUCGCCGAGGAAGCAACGCAACAGGCUGAGAGCGCUGCGCAGGCGGCAGUUAACACAGUGGGCCAGACUGUGCAGCAAGCAGUGGAACAGGCCAAGGAUGCUGGUCAGAAAGCUCUCGAUGAAGUCUACAAGGUCGCUGAAACUGGUGAAAAAGCUGUAAAAAAUGUAGCAAAUCAAGCAACUUCCUGGGGCAAAAGCUUUGGACAAUGAAGAUAACGUAACACCACUGAAUGUAUUCUUAAAUAAAUAAAACCCCUACAGUGUACA
rnacentral:lncRNA from 1 species